rnacentral:rRNA from 1 species
ACGGCAGCAUGGGAAGAACUUGUUCUUCCCGAUGGCGAGUGGCGGACGGGUGAGGAAUGCAUCGGAAUCUGCCCUUUUGUGGGGGAUAACCUCGGGAAACCGGGACUAAUACCGCAUACGACCUACGGGUGAAAGCGGGGGCUCCUUCGGGACCUCGCGCAGAUGGAUGAGCCGAUGCCGGAUUAGCUAGUUGGAGGGGUAAAGGCCCACCAAGGCGACGAUCCGUAGCUGGUCUGAGAGGAUGAUCAGCCACACUGGGACUGAGACACGGCCCAGACUCCUACGGGAGGCAGCAGUGGGGAAUAUUGGACAAUGGGCGCAAGCCUGAUCCAGCCAUGCCGCGUGUGUGAAGAAGGCCUUCGGGUUGUAAAGCACUUUUGUUGGGAAAGAAAAGCUUCCGGCUAAUACCCGGGAGUCAUGACGGUACCCAAAGAAUAAGCACCGGCUAACUUCGUGCCAGCAGCCGCGGUAAUACGAAGGGUGCAAGCGUUACUCGGAAUUACUGGGCGUAAAGCGUGCGUAGGUGGUUGUUUAAGUCUGAUGUGAAAGCCCUGGGCUCAACCUGGGAACUGCAUUGGAUACUGGGCAACUGGAGUGCGGUAGAGGAUAGCGGAAUUCCAGGUGUAGCGGUGAAAUGCGUAGAGAUCUGGAGGAAUACCGAUGGCGAACGCAGCCAUCUGGCCUAAU